rnacentral:rRNA from 1 species
UGAGCAACCUGCCCUUGACCCUGGAAUAACAGUUGGAAACAGCUGCUAAUACCGGAUAUGACCUCUGACGACAUCGUCUGGAGGUGGAAAGCUCCGGCGGUCAAGGAUGGGCUCGCGGCCUAUCAGCUUGUUGGUGAGGUAACGGCUCACCAAGGCUUCGACGGGUAGCCGGCCUGAGAGGGUGACCGGCCACACUGGGACUGAGACACGGCCCAGACUCCUACGGGAGCAG